UACCAGACUCCUACGGGAGGCAGCAGUGAGGAAUAUUGGUCAAUGGGCGCGAGCCUGAACCAGCCAAGUCGCGUGAGGGAAGACGGUCCUAUGGAUUGUAAACCUCUUUUGUCAGGGAGCAAUUGGCGCUACGUGUAGCGUUAUCGAGAGUACCUGAAGAAAAAGCAUCGGCUAACUCCGUGCCAGCAGCCGCGGUAAUACGGAGGAUGCGAGCGUUAUCCGGAUUUAUUGGGUUUAAAGGGUGCGUAGGCGGAAUGCCAAGUCAGCGGUAAAAUCGCGGGGCUCAACCUCGCUCCGCCGUUGAAACUGGCAGUCUCGAGUUGGAGAGAAGUAUGCGGAAUGCGCGGUGUAGCGGUGAAAUGCAUAGAUAUCACGCAGAACUCCGAUUGCGAAGGCAGCAUACCGGCGCCCAACUGACGCUGAAGCACGAAAGCGUGGGUAUCGAACAGGAUUAGAUACCCUGGUAC
rnacentral:rRNA from 1 species